rnacentral:lncRNA from 1 species
GCGCGUUUUUACAUUUUAAAUUUUACAGCCGUUAAACUCGGAAAAAGCUCCACGUGGCAACCAACGAGACCAGAUGUAGCAAAAUUCCGGUGAUAUCAAGUGUCGUCCGAACAAUUAUCCUCUGGCAAGAGUGGACGACAGUAAAACCUAGCUCCCAUUUUAUCGGCCAUUAAAACCCUAAAACUGUUUACACUUUGUUACUAUAGAUAAAAAUUUAAUUUUCGUAUUCUUUUUUGUUCAAUUUUGAGCUCUUCCAGCAGCCAUGAAGGCGUUCGAGGUCGGUGGCACUACUCUCUCUCUUGCUCUCUUCACUGACGUCACCAAUACUAAGUACGCCCUCUUCUUCUUUCUAAAUUUCUAUACACUCUAUAUUACAUACGCGACGUUCGUUAUUAUUAUUAUUAUUUUUAAUAAUUACUGCGUGAAUUGUGGUUCUUAAGAAAUGUACAGCUGUUUGCAGUGAUUUAUUAAUGGGCAGUGCUGGGCGUACAGGGGGAAAAGGUUUGUGCUUUUGAAAAUGUUCUACGUGUUUGGUUCUAGGAAUUCUAUAAAAAUCAUCCUCGUGAUAUUGUACCUUAGGAUUGAGGAGCAAUUGAAUUUUUUGGACAUAAAGACAGGCUAGUCCUGUCUUGAAUGUAGUUUCUGUUUUUUGGUUGAGUUCCAAGUAUAUAAGGCAUUUCAGUUGAAGCGAGGAAUUAAUAUCAACAAAGCGUUCUUUAGUUUCUGUUGACUUCGGUUUUUUGUAGGGACGACGUGUCCAGCAAAUCCCAAUUCCUCUCAUAUCUGCGUAGGCGUAGCCUCUUCCUGUGCAUUUGGACAAAUAGUUAGAGCACACAGCUUUCUCUGGUUGUGGGAGAGGUCAAGAGCACUUUAAUGGUUAAGUCAAUCUAUUUGUGAGUGAAUAUUUGGGUGUGGGACAUUCUAAAUAUGCGAGUCACUAUAAAAAGGCAUUUGGAUCUGAGAGAGAGAGAGAGAGAUAGAGCAACUUUAUAGUUGAAUGUAUAAGAUUGCAUUACCUUCAAAUGACACUAAACGUGAGCUUUUAAAGUAAUAGAGGAGAAAUUACCGCCAUUAAAUGAAGAGACACGUGGCCUCAUCCUGAAGGUCAAGGCGCCGUGUCAUUCUAUCAAUCCUAGGCCCACGUGCAUUUAAUGUUCUAACCAUUUGCAAAACUAUGCCUAGCUUGUAAGGAUUAUACUUGACAUUUUGACUUAUGAAAGUGUUCUCAACUAAGAUUUUGAUGAAUUUUAAAAGAUUAUGAAUCUUGAUGAAUUUCAUGGAUUUGAAUCGAUUUUCACAAGUUUCAUAAUAAUUUCAUCAAAUAUGGUGAAAUUUCAAAAGAUUUGGUAAUAUGUAUUUUUAAGCUUGAAAUCCAUCCAAAUUUUUUAAAGUCCGUCUAUUAAUGAAAUUCUUAUAAAUUUACUAGUUAUUGAGGAUACCUAAAUUUUAAAAAAUUUCAUUGAAUUUCGUUAAAAUCUCAAUUGUGAAUACCUAAAUUUUAAUAAAAUCUCAAUUGAUAGACACCUAACUUUGGAAAGAUUUUUAAAAUCUAUCAUAAUAUUAAUUAAGGAACCCCUUUAAUAGACUGGUUGCGAGUGGUCACAUCAUCCAAUCAUGGAGAUCUUGUACGAAAGAUCCUUGAGCUCCUCGCAUCGCCUUGUUCACGAGGGUUCGACAGAUUUUGCCACGUGGGUUUUGUGACGUGGAGUGUGGGCCUGGUUUCGCUUAUUGAUUGGCUGCCACGUGGCCAUAUUUUAGAGCCUCGCUGGAAGAGGUGUAUCCGUUGUGAAUAUUAAAAAAGAUCUCUCUGAUUUUGGUUGGUUAUGGAAAUUCUAGAUGGCUCCGACUUGUUUCCUAAUUCUCAUUUAAGAAUUUUUCAUGUAUCAUUUGUUUGCAAAUUUCUUGAUUUUGUGUUUAUAGGUGAUAUGCCUGGGAUGAUAUGCUUUUUUCUGUAGCAUAUGAUCAGAUUGAUUACACAGUCAACUGUCACAGAAAUUUUUACCGAAAAUGAAAACUGUGAAUAUUGUGCUCUCCAUUUGAAUACAACUUUGUAUCUUUGCAUUGAACUUUGAAAAAGGAGGGAAGUGAUUAUUUUCAUUAGUUUCAUUAAAAACUACAUGCACGAGAAACUGUUUCCAACAAAUCUUGUGUGUAUAUUCCAUUGUGCUGGUUUCGAGCUUGCAUGAUGUUUGCUCAAUGCUAUAUUCCACUGGGGAAGGAGGGUGGAGAACAGUUUAUGUUGAGAAGUUUUGAGAAGAAACUGACGAGUUUUUCUGCAUCUGCAUCAAGUGUUAAGAUUAAUAGUAAAUUUGGAUACUUGUAAGGGCUUUAGCCACAUCCUAUCAUAAUGUAGCUUCCUGGAAAUCUUUAUUGAAAUAAUGAAAUUUGUAGCCCCAAUAUUUUCUGAUGCAGAGAACUGCUGGAUUUGAUGCAACAGGAACACUGGAACCAGAAAUUGCAUUGCUGAAUGCUUUACUUUUAAGCUCUAUUCUUCUGCAAAGUGUACAAUUCGACAUCUUUCUCUUCCUCUUAAUUUUUUGGAGUUAGGUCUUUUGUUUUGUUGGGUCUAAUAUUCAUCAUGACAAAAUCGAAACAGAUACCCGACGUUUUCCCUGUGCUUGCCGCUUCACAUAAGACACCCAUAUCCAAAUCAAGAGAGGCAAUAACAAGGACUCUCCAUUCUGAGCUUGUUUACAAUUACUUGGGCUCGAAACAUGUAAGAAGCGUUUUCCUUAGCUCAUCAUGGUUUUGAUAUAUAAAUUUUCUAUGGUGUUGCUGCUGGUGUACCAGAUAUCAGAAUCUUUGAAAAGAUGGUAUAUCUGACAAUUCAAGUUACAUCCUUGUGGCUCAUUUUGGCGCUUCUACUGAUGAGGUGAGGUCAUCGCUUUAAUAUUCUGGAUUAAGUUCAACUCUCUAAUUUUGAUAGCGAUCGUCAGAUAGCAAAAAUCAGAAAAAUGCAAAGCAAACACAGAUUUAUAUCGGUUCUAUUCUACAUCCCAAAAAUCAGAAAAAUGCAAAGCAGACACUUCACUCUCAAUAUGAGAGCUACGUCCCUUCGCUCCUGCUAGUUUUCACUAAAAAUGAGAAGUUCACAAUAUAGUUCUCUGUCCCCUCUUCUAUAUCUUUAUAUAAAAGAACAGCCUGUAAGUUCCUUCACGUACAGGAGGCAAUUAAGGCAAACAUAAUACGAUAUGAAUGCCAAUAUGUCCAUAUAAUUAAAAAAUAAAAACAAAAAUUGCCGUCAAGGUUACAGGUGAACAGUAUAAUUAGGAUCCCACACUGUCCAACAUCAUGAACUAUAUAGAGAUGGUGUAUUUUGUUACUCUCCAAAUAUUCUACUUACUAAAAGAGCUAGGAAUCUUUUAUUGUUUGACCAGGUAACAGCCAUAAAGUAACUUACCAAGGGAGCAGAAAUUGGCUUGUAGGAAUUGCAAGGACGAGCAAACAAAGCCCAGAUACAAAAGGUCGCUCAUCUCUCUCUCUCACGUGCCCUUUUGCUUCUUUUCUCUAAUCUACAUAUGUUUUCUGUGGCGACUUUCGUUUUUUUUUUUCUUUUAAACCAGCACGAUAAAAUACCAGCCUUGGAGUUGGGAAUAUCGUCACUUUCAGAUGCUAUAACAUGGAGGAUUGCAGCUCGAGAUGCCUUGUGAAGGGAAUCAGUCCCUCUUUGUUUUGUUAAUUUGCGCUUUGUAAAACGAGUUUUUCCCUGUUUGUCAUUUUGCUUUUAAUUAAAUCAAGGGAUAUAUACAAUGUUAUUUAUGUGAUUUUUCCAGUGUAAAUUUGUCGUGGUACAGAGGUGAACAUAAUUGGAGUUUGAAGUUGUGCACUUGUUGAGUUUCAUACUAUAAAAUGUUAUAAUCAG